GCCACAGUCCUGGGGGUGAGGCGUCUGGGGCUGCCCAGAGCUGCCCGUGCCCAGCCUGGUGUCAUCUGGGCCAGCCUCGGCUCCCGCCCGGAGCUAGGGAGCAGGCCGCGGGCAGCAGCGCCAGUGUCUGUGCCACCUGAGAGAGAGCCUCCAGUGCGGAUAGUGCCCCAAGAUCCCCCAUGGCAGCUGCAGAGGAGCCUUAGCCCAGAUCUCCAACCUGACAGACUGCCGUUCUCCUCCCCAGGUUCCAUUGGCCACAGUCCUGGGGGUGAGGCGUCUGGGGCUGCCCAGACCUGCCCUGCCCAGCCGGGGUGUCAGCUGGGCCAGCCUCUGCUGCCACCUGAGAAAUCUCAUGGAGGCCCGGGCUGUAGCUGCUGCCAGGCUGCUUGGAAGUCACCCAGGUGGGGAUGCUGGCAAGGCCCUCGGGACCCUAGAAAGGCCGCUCUGGAGGCCUCCAGUGCGAAUAGUGCACCAAGAUCCCCCGUGGCAGCUCCAGAGGAGCGUUAGCACAGAUCUCCGCCGAGACCAACUGCCCUUCUCGUCCCCAGACACAUCAGAAGUUGCCUGCUCCCUGACAGCUCCCAUCAGACCCAGCAGCUGUGAGGAAGAGAACCACUGAGGUGGCUUAGGAAGAAAUGCCCGAGGAAUGACAAUCUCUCUGCUCUCGCACUGCCCGGGCAGGACUGGCCCUAAUUGUGCAACUUCCUUCCUUCCUGAACUAGAGGCAGAAAGCAGCCCUGCUGGACCAGAAGCAGCACCUUUCUGUGGGGCACAAGGACCACCAGACAUCGGGUCAGCUGAGGCAUGGUCCGCUAGGACCCAGCCCGACUGCUGCCUGCUCAGACCCUGAGUGCCCGGGCGGCUGCCUCUGUGAGGCGUGAUGCAUCUGGUCAAUAAACACGCCUCUGAGGAA